CCUACGGGAGACAGCAGUCGAGAAUCAUUCACAAUGGGGGAAACCCUGAUGGUGCGACGCCGCGUGGGGGAAUGAAGGUCUUCGGAUUGUAAACCCCUGUCAUGUGGGAGCAAAUUAAAAAGAUAGUACCACACGAGGAAGAGACGGCUAACUCUGUGCCAGCAGCCGCGGUAAUACAGAGGUCUCAAGCGUUGUUCGGAAUCACUGGGCGUAAAGCGUGCGUAGGCUGUUUCGUAAGUCGUGUGUGAAAGGCGCGGGCUCAACCCGCGGACGGCACAUGAUACUGCGAGACUAGAGUAAUGGAGGGGGAACCGGAAUUCUCGGUGUAGCAGUGAAAUGCGUAGAUAUCGAGAGGAACACUCGUGGCGAAGGCGGGUUCCUGGACAUUAACUGACGCUGAGGCACGAAGGCCAGGGGAGCGAAAGGGAUUAGAUACCCCUGUAGUC
rnacentral:rRNA from 1 species